CCCUUAGAUGUUCUGGGCCGCACGCGUGCUACACUGAGUGGAUCAGCGGGUCAGGUUGCGCGAAAGCGUUUCCUAAUCUUUAAAUCCGCUCGUGAUGGGGAUUGACGGUUGCAAUUUUCUGUCAUGAACGAGGAAUACCUUGUAAGCGCGGGUCAUCAUCCCGCGCUGAAUACGUCCCUGCCCUUUGUACACACCGCCCGUCGCUCCUACCGAUUGAGUGGUCCGGUGAGGCUUUGGGAUCUGAGCGGAAGGAGCGUUUCGCUGUUUCUGCUCGGAAAACUCAGUCGAACCUUAUCAUUUAGAGGAAGGAGAAGUCGCAACA
rnacentral:rRNA from 1 species